GACGUAGGGCGCGAGCGUUGUCCGGAUUUAUUGGGCGUAAAGAGCUCGUAGGCGGCUUGUCGCGUCAACUGUGAAAACCCGUGGCUCAACCAUGUGGACUGCAGUCGAUACGGGCAGGCUAGAAUUCGGUAGGGGAGACUGGAAUUCCUGGUGUAGCGGUGAAAUGCGCAGAUAUCAGGAGGAACACCGGUGGCGAAGGCGGGUCUCUGGGCCGAUAUUGACGCUGAGGAGCGAAAGCGUGGGGAGCAAACAGG
rnacentral:rRNA from 1 species